rnacentral:rRNA from 1 species
UAAGGGGGAAAGCAGGGGAUCUUCGGACCUUGCGCUAAUAGAUGAGCCUAAGUCAGAUUAGCUAGUUGGUGGGGUAAAGGCCUACCAAGGCGACGAUCUGUAGCGGGUCUGAGAGGAUGAUCCGCCACACUGGGACUGAGACACGGCCCAGACUCCUACGGGAGGCAGCAGUGGGGAAUAUUGGACAAUGGGCGAAAGCCUGAUCCAGCCAUGCCGCAUGGGUAAAGAAGGCCUUUUGGUUGGAAAACACUUUAACCGCAGGAGGAGGCUACCGGGAUUUAUACCUUUGGAAACUGGAAGUUU